rnacentral:lncRNA from 1 species
AUUCGCUGCAGGCUUGCUCCGUAAACCCUGCCCUACGCUCCCUUUGUGUGCCGAGCAGCCUAUCACCGUCAUCUGAUCCUAGCGCCUGUUUUUUAUCUUUUCCUUCUGAAUUUCCACAAUAUCCUCGCUUCGCCUAUGAAUCCACCUGCGCAGAGUUGGGAUUCUUUCUUUCGUUCGUUAAAACAGUGGUCUUGAGUUUCGGAAACAGAUUUUUCCUACGUUCCCCUCACCCCUACCCCAAGCUCUUGCCUUUUAAUUAAGAAGAGCUGAUCGGGGGAGGAGUCCAGAACGACCAAACCCUGGGGCGAAAACUGCCACCGGGCUUGGCUCUGUGGCCGGAACAAAAGGCCUGAGAAGGGGGUGGGGGUGAGGGUUAUAGGAGUGUGGAGAGCCUGGUGGCCCCCGCCCAGGGGCGCCUAAGUCCCUGAGCUCCCUGAAGAGUGGCAAGAGGAUAACGCAGCCGCGCGUUCCGGCAGUUCGCUGUCCCCCGGGGGUGCAGGCGGGGGCGGGAGAGGUAGAACACAGGUCUGGGCGGCUCCGCGCCGCUUCUAUCUCACCCGCCAAGCCCCUCACCUCCACCCACCGCCAGUCCCCUGCCCACCCGGGUGGCGGCGGCGGCUCAGCGACUAGCCGGCCGCCCUCCACCGGCGCCUCCGGACGCAACCUCGCCCUGGCAGGGCGGUCUGCGCGUCCAGCUGAUUGGUGGCUCUGUCCAGCCGCCGCACGGAGCUAAAAGUGUUCUUCUCCACCGCCUCCAGCCGCCCAGGCCCCCUCGCCCGGCCCGCUCUCUGGCUCUUCGGUCCGGAAAGGACCUUCUACUCCCAGGCGGAGGCUCCCCUUUCCCUGAGUUACCCCGACUGACUCGGACCUGGGCUCAGUGAGGCAUCCGGCCCGG